rnacentral:tRNA from 1 species
GCGUUUGUAGUCCAACGGUUAGGAUAAUUGCCUUCCAAGCAACAGACCCGGGUUCGACUCGCGGCAGACGCA